rnacentral:rRNA from 1 species
CAGCCGCCGCGGUAAUACGAAGGGGGCUAGCGUUGCUCGGAAUGACUGGGCGUAAAGGGCGCGUAGGCGGCGGCCAAAGUCAGGCGUGAAAUUCCCGGGCUCAACCUGGGGGCUGCGUUUGAUACUUGGUUGCUUGAGUGGGGAAGAGGGUCGUGGAAUUCCCAGUGUAGAGGUGAAAUUCGUAGAUAUUGGGAAGAACACCGGUGGCGAAGGCGGCGACCUGGUCCUUUACUGACGCUGAGGCGCGAAAGCGGGGGGAGCAAACAGGAUUAGAUACCCCUGUAGUCCCUGUCUCUUAUAC